GUGGAGUGUGUAGGGGAUGUGUUAUGUGUUACUGUAGAGGAUCUAAUGCGUGUGCUUAUGGAAUGUAGUGUAUAGGGAUACCAGUUUGUGUAAGUGAUGCAGUGUGUUUGUGUGUAGUGGAAGCAGUGUGUUUUUGUGUAAGGGAUAGAAAGCAGUGAGUGUUUGUGUAUAAGGGAUGUAUUGUGUGUUUCUUGUUGUGUGUAAGGGAUGCAUUGUGUGAAUCUGUGUUUGUAUGUAUAAGGGAUGCAAAGUGUGUUUCUGUGUAUGUAAGGGAUGCAAAGUGUGUUUCUGUGUAUGUAAGGGAUGCAGUGUGUUUCUGUGUAUGUAAAGGGUGCAGUGUGUGUGUCUGUAAGGGGUGCGAUGACUGUGUGUAAGAGAUGCAUUGUGUUUCUGUGUGUGUGUAGGAGAAGCAGUGUGUGUUUGCAUGUGUGUGUAAGGGAUGCAUUGUGUGUUUCUGUGUAUAUGUGCAAAGGAUGCAUUGUCUUUAUAUGUAAGGGUUGCAUUGUGUGUUUCUCUGUGUGUAAGGGAAGCAUGUUGUGUUUCUGUGUGUAUAGGGAUGCAUUAUGUGUAUG